rnacentral:rRNA from 1 species
CCCCAGUAGCGGCGAGCGAACGGGGAGCAGCCCAGAGUCUGAAUCAGCUUGUGUGUUAGUGGAACGGUCUGGAAAGUCCGACGGUACAGGGUGAUAGUCCCGUACACCAAAAUGCACAGGUUGUGAACUCGAAGAGUAGGGCGGGACACGUGGUAUCCUGUCUGAAUAUGGGGGGACCAUCCUCCAAGGCUAAAUACUCCUGACUGACCGAUAGUGAACCAGUACCGUGAGGGAAAGGCGAAAA